rnacentral:rRNA from 1 species
UACGGGGGGGGCAAGCGUUGUUCGGAAUUACUGGGCGUAAAGGGCGCGUAGGUGGCCAACUAAGUCAGACGUGAAAUCCCUCGGCUUAACCGGGGAACUGCGUCUGAUACUGGAUGGCUUGAGUUUGGGAGAGGGACGCGGAAUUCCAGGUGUAGCGGUGAAAUGCGUAGAUAUCUGGAGGAACACCGGUGGCGAAGGCGGCAUCCUGGACCGGUAUUGACGCUGAGGCGCGAAAGCCAGGGGAGCAAACGGG